rnacentral:miRNA from 1 species
UUCUGCUCCUAUUUAAGUCAAU